UGGAAUUCUCGAAGAAAGAAGACGCAUGCUUGGAGUGCUCAAUAUUUUUUUGGUGAUUUUUCCGUCUAAAAUUUAAGAAAACCGGCUUAAAAAUCAUGGAAUUUCAUGUUAAAUAUUCCCGGCAAAAAUGUUGUUUACUUUUAUCAAAAAGGCAUGUUUUACGCGCUUAACAUUAUUUUGAUUGAUUUUGCGAAAAUAUAAAAGAAAUCCGGCUGAAAAUCAUGGAAUUCUACGGUUGAAAUUCCCGGAAAAAAAAUGUUUGUGGUCAACAAAAAUCGUCGACUUAGCUGAAACCUCAUCUUUCUGAGAGUUGAGCAUAGAAUUUUUCGACAAAAUUCUGUUUUUGGAAGCAAACAAGGGGAGUAAACUGGAUUGAUACAACUCGACUCUCCAAUAUUCGUCAAAGGCACUGUUAUGAAUCACAUCCAAAAUAGAGGUAGACAUCGUAAUUUGUAUAAAUGUCAGUGUUCAAGUACAUACAAGCAUCAGUCUACCUUCAGUGUUCUUGUGAGUUCGGUAAAAAACGAUUCUCGUAAAGUUCGCGAAAUUCAAGAAAUUCUUCAGAAAGUUGAGAGUUUGGAAACUCAUUUUAAAAUAUUUUAAAAAGUUAAAAACCUGCAUA